GGUAGCAGGAAGUGCUUGCACUUUGCUGACGAGUGGCGGACGGGUGAGUAAUACUUAGGAACAUGCCUUUGUGUGGGGGAUAACCAUUGGAAACGAUGGCUAAUACCGCAUAAUGUCUUUGGACCAAAGAGGGCUUUCGGGCUCUCGCGCAAAGAGUGGCCUAAGUGAGAUUAGCUUGUUGGUGAGGUAAAGGCUCACCAAGGCGACGAUCUCUAGCUGUUCUGAGAGGAAGAUCAGCCACACUGGGACUGAGACACGGCCCAGACUCCUACGGGAGGCAGCAGUGGGGAAUAUUGGACAAUGGGGGCAACCCUGAUCCAGCCAUGCCGCGUGAGUGAAGAAGGCCUUAGGGUUGUAAAGCUCUUUCAAUAGUGAAGAUAAUGACGGUAGCUAUAGAAGAAGCUCCGGCUAAAUUCGUGCCAGCAGCCGCGGUAAUACGAAUGGAGCAAGCGUUGUUCGGAAUCACUGGGCUUAAAGCGUGCGCAGGCGGACUUGAAAGUCGGGAGUGAAAUCCCAGGGCUCAACCCUGGAACUGCUUCCGAAACUCCAAGUCUAGAAUCCGAUAGAGGUUAGGGGAAUUCCUAGUGUAGAGGUGAAAUUCGCAGAUAUUAGGAGGA
rnacentral:rRNA from 1 species